rnacentral:rRNA from 1 species
UGGGGAAUAUUGCACAAUGGGCGAAAGCCUGAUGCAGCGACGCCGCGUGAGGGAUGACGGCCUUCGGGUUGUAAACCUCUUUCAGCAGGGACGAAGCGCAAGUGACGGUACCUGCAGAAGAAGCACCGGCUAACUACGUGCCAGCAGCCGCGGUAAUACGUAGGGUGCAAGCGUUGCCCGGAUUUAUUGGGCGUAAAGCGGGCGCAGGCGGUUCUUUAAGUCUGAAGUUAAAGGCAGUGGCUUAACCAUUGUACGCUUUGGAAACUGGAGGACUUGAGUGCAGAAGGGGAGAGUGGAAUUCCAGGUGUAGUGGUGAAAUGCGUAGAUAUAUGGAGGAACACCGGUGGCGAAAGCGGCUCUCUGGUCUGUAACUGACGAUGAGGCUCGAAAGCGUGGGGAGCAAACAGG